UAUUAAUUCUGUUAUUUAUCUAUCUUUAUAUACACCAAGGCAUAGCUAGUGAAAGCUUACUAAGCUAUAAAAUGUAGAUGCUGUCACUGGAAUUUAAAUAGCAUACAGUAGAUGUGAAUUUUACCCAACCUUCUCUGUUUACAUUGCUUUGAAAAAAUAUUUAUGCUUUUACUUGCAGUUUCUCUAGAACAUAAUCUGACAUUUGAAAAAUAUAGUAGAAACGAUAACAGAGAAAGAAGAUGUAUCUUCAUGGUGGUCAAAUCAUUAUUUCUUUUGUCUUCCAGAUUGGAGUGGAUGGGCUUCCUUUCCUCUGUUCUUUCAAAGCACACAGUGUAAAUCUCUACCAUUUCAGCACGCCCUCACCUAUUUUUUCCAUCCAAGGCGUAUAUCAUAGUUCUUGGCGUAUAGUACUUGUUCAAAAGGGUAUUUAAAGCAAGCACUGUUCAGUUUAGAAAUGGUGGCCCAGUAGGCUGAUGGUGGGCUCUUGCUGAAUUCUGAACCACUGAACCUUCUUACAAGACAUCAAGGUUGCUGUCACACAGCAGAGAAUAUUGAAUUGAAACAUGAAGCAUGAAGCUCAUGACAUCAAGUUUUUGGUGUGAUCAGGAAAAAAUUGUUUACCAUAGUUCUAGAUUACUCUUUUUUUAUUCCUGAAAAUUUCAUGGAAUAUUUAGUAUUUAUAGUAUUGCACAAAGUGUUUUUCAAAUGUGUGACACACAGAGACAUUAGACAUUUGCAAUUUCAAAUGCCAGGGACAAGAUGUGCAUCUGCCUUAUGAACUGAGAAGUUGGCCUUUGUGAACAGGUGUGGUAGGUUUUUUAAUGGCCACAAAUUCCUCCAGUUUCUGUACUGGGCCCUUUUGCAAUAUGGCUUUUCAUUCGGAAGUGGAGUCUUUUUAUCUAUACCUUGACUCUGGGCUGACUUUUUAUUUGUUUGACCAAUAAAAUGUGCCAAAAGUAACAUUCUGUGAAUUCUAGGGGCUAGGACUUAAGAGGCGUUGCAGUUUCUGCCUUUGCAUUUCCUGGAACACUACCCUGAGACCUCCACAUGAAGAAACUUCUGCUUACUGGAGGUUGAGAAGCCAAGUGGUAACCUGAGGCUUCCCAGGUGACAGCCAGAACCAAGUAUCGGACAUUUGUAGGCAACUGAAAACGCUUCUCAAUAAAACAUUUUCCAAUCUCACCUCCGAGAAAUAAUAAUCUUAUAAAAAUAUAGUCUUCAGAAGGUUGGAAGAAAGAACAGAAGAUUGCAAAACUAGGCACACGGAGUCUACCAGCUGUUAGAAAGUUCAAAAAGUCAAUAAAUGAAGCUAAAUACUAGUCUUCUAAAAUCGUUUUUCAGGUAAGAUAAAUAGGGUUCUUUUCACCUUAAAUUCUCAUUUGGCAGUAUUCCUGCACAUGUCUCGUCUACUAAUACGCUUGGGUAGCCUCAGGGAGACUUUCAAAAAAUGGUUCUUAAGAUACUGAUAUUCUUGUCCCCAGACUCAUGAGUCAUUUGGACACAAGCAUUGAAUUUAAGUGGGACUCACUUUCUCACU
rnacentral:lncRNA from 1 species